rnacentral:lncRNA from 1 species
AGUCGCCUCCAGAGGGCAAGGUCUGGGCUGGAGAACAUGCUGAGGGCACAGAGACUGGGAAGAGAGGACAGAGAACUGCACAGGCCGUAAAGUGCCAACGAGGCUGUGCCUGUGAGGAAGGAAAACUGACCUUGGAGGCGGUGACAUUUGUAAUGGCCUGUGACAUAGGAGCCCACCUCACUGAUGGAUGUCCCUUUGCAGGAGACACGCUGUAUCAGCGAUGCCCGGAAGUGCCUCUGGUCGACCACAGGUAAACAUUAAACUUUGUACCUAAGAAACUUCCUUUUGACGGCUGGGUUCCUGUCAAGGAGAGAAAGUUUCCAUUGUGUGUGUGUGUGUGUGUGUGUGUGUGUGUGUGUGUGUGUGUGUGUCCCACAUGCUAGUGGAUGCGUUCUUUAUCUUUUCCUCUCUGCAGAAAAUCGGGUCAGUGGUUUCAGAGUUGCCACCCCUCCAGGUUCAGGAGGGAGGUGGCUAGGGUUGCUG